rnacentral:rRNA from 1 species
AUGGGCGCAAGCCUGAUCCAGCCAUGCCGCGUGAGUGAUGAAGGCCCUAGGGUUGUAAAGCUCUUUCGCCAGGGACGAUAAUGACGGUACCUGGAUAAGAAGCCCCGGCUAACUUCGUGCCAGCAGCCGCGGUAAU